ACUGGUGGUAAUAGCAAGAGUGUCCCACCCGAUCCCAUUCCGAACUCGGACGUUAAACCUCUUAUCGCCUAUGGUACUUUGUCUUAAGACACGGGAGAGUCGGUAGCUGCCAGUU
rnacentral:rRNA from 1 species